CUACGGGCGGCUGCAGGCGCGAAACCUCUACAAUGCAGGAAACUGUGAUAGGGGGACUCAAAGUGCUCAUACAUUGUAUGGGCUUUUGCCAAGAGUAAAUACCUUGGCGAAUAAGUGGUGGGAAAGACUGGUGCCAGCCGCCGCGGUAACACCAGCGCCACAAGUGGGAGCCGCGUUUAUUUGGCCUAAAGCGUCCGUAGCUGGUUUGAAAAAUCUUUUGUGAAAUUGUGGAGCUUAACUCUACAACGUGCAGGAGACACUUUCAGACUAGGGACCGGGAGAGGUAAGGAGUAUUCAUGGGGAAGCGGUAAAAUGUUAUAAUCCCACGAAGACUACCAGUGGCGAAGGCGCCUUACCAGAACGGGUCCGACAGUGAGGGACGAAAGCCAGGGGAGCGAUCCGGAUUAGAUACCCGCGUAGUC
rnacentral:rRNA from 1 species